rnacentral:tRNA from 1 species
GGGGGAUUAGCUCAGUUGGGAGAGCGCAGCGUUCGCACUGCUGAGGUCAGGGGUUCGACUCCCCUAUCCUCCACCA